AGGACUAACGCUGGCGGCGUGCCUAACACAUGCAAGUCGAACGAGGUAGCAAUACCUAGUGGCAGACGGGUGAGUAACGCGUGGUCAACCUACCUCUUAGUGGGGGAUAACUAGCCGAAAGGUUAGCUAAUACCGCAUACGAUCGUCGCGAGGCAUCUCGUGACGAUGAAAGGAGCAAUUCGCUAAGAGAGGGGACUGCGUCCCAUUAGUUAGUUGGUGGGGUAAUGGCCCACCAAGACUCCGAUGGGUAGCUGGCUUGAGAGAGCGACCAGCCACACUGGAACUGAGACACGGUCCAGACUCCUACGGGAGGCAGCAGUGAGGAAUUUUCCGCAAUGGGCGCAAGCCUGACGGAGCGACGCCGCGUGUGGGAAGAAGGCCUUCGGGUCGUAAACCACUGUCGAAGGGGACGAUAUUGACGGUACCCUUGGAGGAAGCCCGGCUAACUACGUGCCAGCAGCCGC
rnacentral:rRNA from 1 species